rnacentral:rRNA from 6 species
UAAUUGGAGAGUUUGAUCCUGGCUCAGAACGAACGCUGGCGGCGUGCCUAACACAUGCAAGUCGUACGAGAAAAUCCCCUUCGGGGGGUGAGUAAAGUGGCGAACUGGUGAGUAACACGUGGGUAAUUUGCCCUGAAGACUGGGAUAACCUCGGGAAACCGGAGCUAAUACCAGAUAAAUCCAUUUCGCAUAAGCGGAAUGGGUAAAGGUGGGGAUCUUCGGACCUACCGCUUUAGGAUAAGCCCGCGGCUGAUUAGCUUGUUGGUGGGGUAACGGCCUACCAAGGCGACGAUCAGUAGCCGGCCUGAGAGGGUGAUCGGCCACAUUGGGACUGAGAUAUGGCCCAGACUCCUACGGGAGGCAGCAGUGGGGAAUAUUGCGCAAUGGACGAAAGUCUGACGCAGCAACGCCGCGUGAGCGAUGAAGGCCUUCGGGUUGUAAAGCUCUGUCAGGAGGGAAGAAACCGCAGGAGAAGAUAACGCUUCUGCGCUGACGGUACCUCCAAAGGAAGCCACGGCUAACUCCGUGCCAGCAGCCGCGGUAAUACGGAGGUGGCAAGCGUUGUUCGGAAUUACUGGGCGUAAAGCGCGCGUAGGCGGUCCGUUAAGUCGGGAGUGAAAUCCCCGGGCUCAACCUGGGAACUGCUUUCGAUACUGGCAGACUAGAGGAUGGGAGAGGGAAGUGGAAUUCCUAGUGUAGCGGUGAAAUGCGUAGAUAUUAGGAAGAACACCGGUGGCGAAGGCGGCUUCCUGGCCCAUUCCUGACGCUGAGGCGCGAAAGCGUGGGUAGCAAACAGGAUUAGAUACCCUGGUAGUCCACGCCGUAAACGAUGGGUACUAGGUGUCGGGGGUGUCGACCCCCUCGGUGCCGUAGCUAACGCGUUAAGUACCCCGCCUGGGGAGUACGGCCGCAAGGCUAAAACUCAAAGGAAUUGACGGGGGCCCGCACAAGCGGUGGAGCAUGUGGUUUAAUUCGAUGCAACGCGAAGAACCUUACCAGGGCUUGACAUCCCGAGAACCUUCCUGAAAAGGAAGGGUGCCCUUCGGGGAACUCGGUGACAGGUGCUGCAUGGCUGUCGUCAGCUCGUGUCGUGAGAUGUUGGGUUAAGUCCCGCAACGAGCGCAACCCUCAUCCUUAGUUACUAACAUUCAGUUGAGGACUCUAAGGAAACUGUCUGCGACAAGCAGGAGGAAGGUGGGGACGACGUCAAGUCAUCAUGGCCCUUACGCCCUGGGCCACACACGUGCUACAAUGGGCGGUACAAAGGGUUGCGAACCCGCGAGGGGGUGCUAAUCCCAUAAAACCGUCCUCAGUUCAGAUUGCAGUCUGUAACUCGACUGCAUGAAGGUGGAAUCGCUAGUAAUCGUGGAUCAGCAUGCCACGGUGAAUACGUUCCCGGGCCUUGUACACACCGCCCGUCACACCAUGGGAGUCUGCUGUACCGGAAGUCACUGGGCUAACCCUUCGGGGAGGCAGGUGCCGAUGGUAUGGUCGGCGACUGGGGUGAAGUCGUAACAAGGUAGCCGUAGGAGAACCUGCGGCUGGAUCACCUCCUUUCUA